rnacentral:rRNA from 1 species
UGGGGAAUUUUGCACAAUGGGGGCAACCCUGAUGCAGCGACGCCGCGCGAUUUAGAAGGCCUUCGGGUUGUAAAAAUCUUUUGUAUAGGAAGAAAAUGACAGUACUAUACGAAUAAGGUCCGGCUAAUUACGUGCCAGCAGCCGCGGUAAUACGUAAGGACCGAGCGUUGUCCGGAAUCAUUGGGCGUAAAGGGUACGUAGGCGGUUAAAAAAGUUAGAAGGGAAAGGCUAUAGCUCAACUAUAGUAAGCUUUUAAAACUGUUUAACUUGAGAGAUGGAAGGGAAAGUGGAAUUCCUAGUGUAGCGGUGAAAUGCGCAGAUAUUAGGAGGAAUACCGGUGGCGAAGGCGACUUUCUGGCCAUUAUCUGACGCUGAGGUACGAAAGCGUGGGUAGCAAACAGG